rnacentral:rRNA from 1 species
GCAAGUCGAACGAACUAGUUUACUAGUUAGUGGCGAACGGGUGAGUAACACGUAAAUAACCAAUCUUUUUCACGAGGAUAACUCUGGGAAACUGAGCUAAUACUGGAUAAGAUAUGACCUCACAAGGGGACAUAUUUAAAGCACCUUUCGGGGUGUGGUAGAAGAUGGGAUUGCGUCGCAUUAGAUAGUUGGUGAGGUAAUGGCCCACCAAGUCAACGAUGCGUAGCUGAGCUGAGAGGCUGAAC